AGAGUUUGAUCAUGGCUCAGAACGAACGCUGGCGGCGUGCUUAACACAUGCAAGUUGAAUGCGAACAGGUCUUUUGGGGUCUAAGUAGCAUAGCAGACGGGUGAGGAACGCGUAACUGACCUGUCUCUUGAUGGGGGAUAGUCCUGCGAAAGUGGGGGUAAUACCGCAUAAGCUCACUUGGAGUAAUAUUUAAGUGAGGAAAGUUGGCCUCUGUAUAACAAGCUGAUGUCGAGAGAGGGGGUUGCGUCCUAUUAGCUAGUUGGUGGGGUAAAGGCUUACCAAGGCGGCGAUGGGUAGCUGGUCUGAGAGGAUGAUCAGCCACACUGGGACUGAGAGACGGCCCAGACUCCUACGGGAGGCAGCAGUGGGGAAUUUUGCGCAAUGGGCGUGAGCCUGACGCAGCAACGCCGCGUGAGUGAGGACGCCCUUCGGGGUGUAAAGCUUUGUUGCCUGGGACGAAAGAUAUAUAGUGAAGAGCGUUGUAUUGUGACGGUACCAG
rnacentral:rRNA from 1 species